UCCCCGAUGGUCUAGUGGAUAUGAUUUCCGCUUGUCAUUACUGGUUAAUACAAAGCGCGGGAGACCGGGGUUCGAUUCCCCGUCGAGGAG